UGCAUCGGCCGGGAAUCGAAUCCGGUCCGCCCGCGUGGCAGGCGAGCAUUCUACCACUGAACCACCGAUGG